rnacentral:ncRNA from 1 species
UCUAUUAGGAGUACCUAUGGGGGACAUGGCAGGCGACCCCAACGACGUUGCCGGUGAGAUUUUCCGGGACCACCCAGAUCUUAUGAGGGUCACGCUGAGACUAAGAACGAGUGGGGCGGUGAAAAUGAAGGAACAUCCUCGUACCGACCCGCAACAGGAUUCCUAGGUGAGAAGCCUAAGGCAUAAUUGUAAUGUGAGCAAGGGAAAUCGGCAAAAUGGAUGAAAAACCUCGGGAUAAUCAUUGGCUCUAGCAUGCUAGAACUGGGCUUACAAGGGGAAUCUGACUGUUUAAUAAAAACAUAGCUUUGUGUGUACGCAAAGUGAAUUCUGCCCAGUGCUUGGGACGUUAAGGAAGUAAUUUUAAGUACGCACCUGUAAACGGCGGGAGUAACUAUGACUCUCUUAAGGUAGCCAAAUGCCUCGUCGCCUAAUUAGCGACGCGCAUGAAUGGAGCAACGAGAUUCCCACUGUCCCUGCUCACAGAUUUGCGAACCUACAGCCAAGGGAACGGGCUUGGGACAUGCAGCGGGGAAAGAAGACCCUGUUGAGCUUGACUCUAGCCAAGCACAGGCCUCUGUGACUAUAUCGUAGCGAGGUGGGAGAAAUGUGUGAGACCACUGACAUAGUCGGCGGGGGCACUCGCAAAGCUUGGUGGGGAGUUUGGCUGGGGCGGCACGACUACUAAAACAUAACGUAGACGUCCAAAGGUAAGCUCCGAGGGGAUGGAAACCACUCCGAGAGUAUAAGGGCAAAAGCUUGCUUUAGUUAUUAAUGUAAAUUAAUAAUACUGGAAACAGGGGCCUAGAGAUCCUCUAUGAAACUAAGCAUAGAGGUGACGGAAAAGUUACCACAGGGAUAACUGGCUUGUGGCGGCCGAGCGUCCAUAGCGACGCCGCUUUUUGAUUCUUCGAUGUCGGCUCUUCCGAGCAUGGUGGAGUAUCAGCCACCAAGUGUGUGAUUGUUCACCAACUAACAGGGAACGUGAGCUGGGUUUAGACCGUCGCGAGACAGGUUAGUUUUACCCUACUGCAUCGCGUCCGAGAGUAGGUCGGGGCAGUACGAGAGGAAGUGCCGAUCAGAACCGCUGGUGAACUUCGUCUGUAAG